GAGAGCCCAUAUGAAACGAGUCUUUGUACUCUAUGCAGAGUAUGGCAUUAACAAAAUAAGAAAAUCUACGGUUUCGUUUUGAUUAAAAUCUGUCUUCCUCCAUCCCCCGAUAGCACUAUUUCUAGGUCUACCUGUUGUCAAGGAGGCUCUAAGGAAGACAGAUUUUUACCAUUCCGACCGUAGAUUGUCGAUAUAAAUUAAAAUAAUUUAUAUCGCAGUAUGGAUAGAACGCCCUCUAACGGGGAAUAAGCGAAAUGAAUUUCGACUCAAUUCAAGCUUUCUGCUUAACCCAGGUAUAACAUACCAAAAGGCACCGCCAGGAAAACAUUCCACUUUGCGGUUCAGAGAGCCCAUAUGAAACGAGUCUUUGUACUCUAUGCAGAGUAUGGCAUUAACAAAAUAAGAAAAUCUACGGUUUCGUUUUGAUUAAAAUCUGUCUUCCUCCAUCCCCCGAUAGCACUAUUUCUAGGUCUACCUGUUGUCAAGGAGGCUCUAAGGAAGACAGAUUUUUACCAUUCCGACCGUAGAUUGUCGAUAUAAAUUAAAAUAAUUUAUAUCGCAGUAUGGAUAGAACGCCCUCUAACGGGGAAUAAGCGAAAUGAAUUUCGACUCAAUUCAAGCUUUCUGCUUAACCCAGGUAUAACAUACCAAAAGGCACCGCCAGGAAAACAUUCCACUUUGCGGUUCAGAGAGCCCAUAUGAAACGAGUCUUUGUACUCUAUGCAGAGUAUGGCAUUAACAAAAUAAGAAAAUCUACGGUUUCGUUUUGAUUAAAAUCUGUCUUCCUCCAUCCCCCGAUAGCACUAUUUCUAGGUCUACCUGUUGUCAAGGAGGCUCUAAGGAAGACAGAUUUUUACCAUUACGACCGUAGAUUGUCGAUAUAAAUUAAAAUA